UAAACCGGAGGAAGGUGGGGAGUGACGUCAAAUCAUCAUGCCCCUUAUGACCUGGGCUACACACGUGCUACAAUGGUUGGUACAACGAGUUGCGAGUCGGUGACGGCGAGCUAAUCUCUUAAAGCCAAUCUCAGUUCGGAUUGUAGGCUGCAACUCGCCUACAUGAAGUCGGAAUCGCUAGUAAUCGCGGAUCAGCACGCCGCGGUGAAUUACCGGUUCCCGGGCCUU
rnacentral:rRNA from 1 species